rnacentral:rRNA from 1 species
AUUGAACGCUGGCGGCAUGCCUUACACAUGCAAGUCGAACGGCAGCACGGGUGCUUGCUCCUGGUGGCGAGUGGCGAACGGGUGAGUAAUACAUCGGAACAUGUCCUGUAGUGGGGGAUAGCCCGGCGAAAGCCGGAUUAAUACCGCAUACGAUCUACGGAUGAAAGCGGGGGACCUUCGGGCCUCGCGCUAUAGGGUUGGCCGAUGGCUGAUUAGCUAGUUGGUGGGGUAAAGGCCUACCAAGGCGACGAUCAGUAGCUGGACUGAGAGGACGACCAGCCACACUGGGACUGAGACACGGCCCAGACUCCUACGGGAGGCAGCAGUGGGGAAUUGUGGACAAUGGUCGAAAGCCUGAUCCAGCAAUGCCGCGUGUGUGAAGAAGGCCUUCGGGUUGUAAAGCACUUUUGUCCGGAAAGAAAUCCUUGGCCCUAAUACGGUCGGGGGAUGACGGUACCGGAAGAAUAAGCACCGGCUAACUACGUG